CACACUCGGGACCUGGCUCUUUCCUGAGGAUGUUGGGGGGUGUGUGCGGGGGGACGUGGCUCAGGCUCCUGAUUGCGCCAUCACUUCCCGCACAGCAGGAAGCGAGUCAGAGCGUCCGCGCCACCCAGCCCGUCUGGACCCCGAGGUACCGACCCCCAGGUCCCUGUGACACACCCGGGCUCAGAUAUCCGUCCCCCCUGCCCAGGGAGCUGGGAAGGCGGCUCCCCACCCCAUACCAGGAUCUGUGAUUGAGCAGGCUGCUUCACCAGGAGCUGAGAGCAGAGUGCCCUGCCCAGAACCCAGGCUGCACCAAGGCCCACCCUUAACCCCCCAGCAUGGCACGCCGGCCGGCCACACCCCAUGUCUGGAUUUGACGGCUUCCAGCACAGCAGCGCCUCCCCAGUGGCUCCCCAUGAUGCUCUCAUCCAAUGAGACGACGGGCCACACCCACUGACGGCCAGUGGCCAUAAAGGAGAAAGCUGAGUGGCAAGGGGUAGAGCACAUAGUUGUCCUUCCCAGCCAAUUGGAUUGUUUCCUUGACUCUCGCUCCCCGAAGCCUGCGUGCAUG